GAAAGUCGGGUUUCAUAUUUCAUUUAUAAAGGGAACUUGGCAGUGAUUGAGAUAAAAAUGAAUUUCCUACCUAUUUGAGUAUAGUGUUAAAGUCAAGUUCUUGCUAUGGUGGUCUACUUGUGACUAGCUUGAGCGCUGAUAUAUGUGCCACGAGAAAGAGUGAAAAACGAUGCAACGAGGUAUAAAGAUCUGUAAGGUGUAGUUUCAUAUUUGGCAAGACGAAUUUGUACGUGGUAU
rnacentral:lncRNA from 1 species